AUUGAACGCUGGCGGAAUGCUUUACACAUGCAAGUCGAACGGCAGCACGGACUUCGGUCUGGUGGCGAGUGGCGAACGGGUGAGUAAUGUAUCGGAACGUGCCCAGUCGUGGGGGAUAACGUAGCGAAAAUUACGCUAAUACCGCAUACGAUCUAUGGAUGAAAGCGGGGGAUCGCACGACCUCGCGCGAUUGGAGGCGCCGAUAUCAGAUGAGGUAGUUGGUGGGGUAAAGGCCCACCAAGCCAACGAUCUGUAGCUGGUCUGAGAGGACGACCAGCCACACUGGAACUGAGACACGGUCCAGACUCCUACGGGAGGCAGCUGUGGGGAAUUUUGGACAAUGGGCGAAAGCCUGAUCCAGCCAUUCCGCGUGCAGGAUGAAGGCCCUCGGGUUGUAAACUGCUUUUGUACAGAACGAAAAGGUUUCUACUAAUACUAGGAGCUCAUGACGGUACUGUAAGAAUAAGCACCGGCUAACUACGUGCCAGCCGCCGCGGUAA
rnacentral:rRNA from 1 species